rnacentral:rRNA from 1 species
AGUGAACGCUGGCGGUAGGCCUAACACAUGCAAGUCGAACGGCAGCACAGUAAGAUCUUGCUCUUACGGGUGGCGAGUGGCGGACGGGUGAGGAAUACAUCGGAAUCUACUUUUUCGUGGGGGAUAACGUAGGGAAACUUACGCUAAUACCGCAUACGACCUACGGGUGAAAGCAGGGGAUCUUCGGGCCUUGCGCGAUUGAAUGAGCCGAUGUCGGAUUAGCUAGUUGGCGGGGUAAAGGCCCACCAAGGCGACGAUCUGUAGCUGGUCUGAGAGGAUGAUCAGCCACACUGGAACUGAGACACGGUCCAGACUCCUACGGGAGGCAGCAGUGGGGAAUAUUGGACAAUGGGCGAAAGCCUGAUCCAGCCAUACCGCGUGGGUGAAGAAGGCCUUCGGGUUGUAAAGCCCUUUUGUUGGGAAAGAAAAGAAGCAGGUUAAUACCCCGCUGUUCUGACGGUACCCAAAGAAUAAGCAUCGGCUAACUUCGUG